GUUAUAUUUACAUUCCUGAUAACUCUGAGGAUGUUAAAGAUUUACAUCCCCAAAUAAAGGCCUUGUCCACUUGGCCUUAUUAUGGGAACAACUUCUCAGCCCUCACACCUCCUGGUGAGAAAUGAUUGACUUCUAUCAUCCCCAUGAUAUACAUUGACAUGUUCCAGAUGCUACAAUAUUUAUUUUGUACUCAUGUCUUUUUGUUUCUCUCUCAUAGAAGCACUUCUCACUAGAUGACUUUACAACCUGUUCUUCCCCAACCAGACUUCAAUCUGACCUGACUUCUAAAACGGAACUCCAAAGCUGCUCACAUCACCCCCUCUCAGCUCUGAAGAAGCCAGAGUCGUUGUCGCCCCUUUUCUUACAACUAAAGAAGUUCCUAAAAUUAGAAGGGGAAAACUGAAGCCAGAAUUAAAUAAACAGUCAGUAUAGGUAGGUAAAUUGACUCAGGUGGGAUCAAGGAGGCCAGUUUUCAGUGAGUCCUGAAAGUUGGAAAUUGUCCCUUAGUGGACUAAAAUUCCUUCAGAGCUCUUCCUCCACCCUAUCAAAGAUUUGAAAGGGACUCAUAAGGAGGGAAUGAUGGACCCAGCCUGAUUCCAUCUUAAGGUUGGGAGCCAUCUCAUCACAAAGUCAUGAAAAGUUCAUUUCUGUUUUACUGUAAAAUAAUAAGAUUUCUAUUUGGCCUGACCUUAGUUUGAUGUUUAAAAAAAACUUGCUUGGGAUUCUUGCCUGGCUUUGAACUUGCCCGUGCCCGGCUGUCCCUGAUGAGAUAACAACCCUCCCUGGAAUCCAGCUGCUCCUCCUUGACUUUGAUGUUAGGAUCUGAGUUUGCCCUUACCUUGAGAUGUUAACAAUGUAGAUCAUAAACCUGCUAACUGCCCUAGUAUUACACUUGACAGAACCCUGACAGCUGUCAGUUCCCAAGACACCCCCUUAUUUGUAACUUUUUGUGUUAUAAAAACUUCCCUGUCACCAGACCAGCUGCUGUUCUUGGCCCUGUUUUUCCAAGUGACACAGCUUCCGGCCAGC
rnacentral:lncRNA from 1 species